rnacentral:rRNA from 1 species
GUAGGAGGCGAGCGUUAUCCGGAUUUACUGGGCGUAAAGCGCGUGUAGGCGGUUUGGUAAGUUGGAUGUGAAAUCUCCUGGCUCAACUGGGAGAGGUCGUUCAAUACUACCAGACUAGAGGACGGUAGAGGAAGGUAGAAUUCCCGGUGUAGUGGUGAAAUGCGUAGAUAUCGGGAGGAAUACCAGUGGCGAAGGCGGCCUUCUGGGCCGUUCCUGACGCUCAGACGCGAAAGCGUGGGUAGCGAACGGGAUUAGAAACCCCGGUAGUCCAUGCUGUAAACGAUGCGGACUUGGUGUUGGUGGCGUAAAAACCAUCAGUGCCGAAGCUAACGCGUUAAGUCCGCCGCCUGGGGACUACGGUCGCAAGAUUAAA